UGGGGAAUCUUGCACAAUGGGCGCAAGCCUGAUGCAGCCAUGCCGCGUGAGUGAAGAAGGCCUUCGGGUUGUAAAGCACUUUCAGGUGUGAGGAAAGGGUGAUGGUUAAUACCCAUUAUCUGUGACGUUAACACCAGAAGAAGCACCGGCUAACUCCGUGCCAGCAGCCGCGGUAAUACGGAGGGUGCGAGCGUUAAUCGGAAUUACUGGGCGUAAAGCGCACGCAGGCGGAAUGUUAAGCUAGAUGUGAAAGCCCAGCGCUCAACGUUGGACGGACAUUUAGAACUGGCAUUCUAGAGUUUUGGAGAGGGGAGUGGAAUUCCACGUGUAGCGGUGAAAUGCGUAGAUAUGUGGAGGAACAUCAGUGGCGAAGGCGACUCUCUGGCCAAAGACUGACGCUCAUGUGCGAAAGUGUGGGUAGCGAACAGGAUUAGAUACCCCUGUAGUCC
rnacentral:rRNA from 1 species